rfam:Dictyostelium purpureum unplaced genomic scaffold DICPTscaffold_66, whole genome shotgun sequence.
GGGAAAUUAGUUAAGUGGUAUAAUGCUACCUUUGGGUGGUAGCGUCCUGAGUUCGAUUCUCGGAUUUCCCC